UACGGGGGGAGCAAGCGUUGUUCGGAUUUACUGGGCGUAAAGGGCGCGUAGGCGGUCAGCACAAGUCAGUUGUGAAAUCUCCGGGCUUAACUCGGAAAGGUCAACUGAUACUGUGCGACUAGAGUGCGGAAGGGGCGACUGGAAUUCUCGGUGUAGCGGUGAAAUGCGUAGAUAUCGAGAGGAACACCUGCGGCGAAGGCGGGUUGCUGGGCCGACACUGACGCUGAGGCGCGAAAGCCAGGGGAGCGAACGGG
rnacentral:rRNA from 1 species